CCUGUUUAUCAAAAACAUGGUUUUUUGGGAUUAUAAAAAAUCUGACCUGCUCAAUGCAUAUGUAAAUAGCCGCAGUAUCUUAACUGUGCUAAGGUAGCAUAAUCAUUUGUCUUUUAAAUAGAGUCUAGAAUGAAAGGUUUGACGAAGGAAAAGCUGUCUUUUUAUUAUAUAAUGAAUUUAAUUAAUUAGUAAAAAGGCUAAUGUAAGUUUGAAGGACGAUAAGACCCUAUUAAACUUAAUUUUAUAAUUUUACUGGGGUGGUAAUUUAAGAUGAGAAUCUUAUUUAAGUAAGAUGCAAUUUGUUGACCCAAUAUUAUUGAGGAGAAGAUAAAGUUACUAUAGGGAUAACAGCUUAAUUUUUUUUUGAAGUUCGUAUUUAUAAAAAAGUUUAAGACCUCGAUGUUGAAUUAAAGUUUCUUUUUAGUGUAGCAGUUAACAUAGGAAAGUCUGUUCGACUUUUAAAUCUUUACGUGAUCUGAGUUCAGACCGGCCAUGGA
rnacentral:rRNA from 1 species